AUUGGCUGAGGAGCCAAUGGGGCGAAGCUACCAUCUGUGGGAUUAUGACUGAACGCCUCUUAAGUCAGAAUCCCGCCCAGGCGGAACGAUACGGCAGCCCCGCGGCGCCUCGGUUGGCCUCGGAUAGCCGGUCCCCGCCGGCGGGCCGCCCCGCCCCGCGCUGGGACCAGGGUCCGGUGCGGAGUGCCCUUUGUCCUGGGAAACGGGGCGCGGCCGGAAAGGCGGCCGCCCUCUCGCCCGUCACGCAACGCACGUUCGUGGGGAACCUGGCGCUAAACCAUUCGUAGACGACUUGCUUCUGGGUCGGGGUUUCGUACGUAGCAGAGCAGCUCCCUCGCUGCGAUCUAUUGAAAGUCAGAU
rnacentral:lncRNA from 1 species